rnacentral:lncRNA from 1 species
UCAGAGCUCAGGUGGCUGAGAAUGACAGUACACAUCAGGCGAUGGAGAUGUUUCUCUUUCUUCUGAUAAGCACUUAAAUGCUUACCAGGUUCCACUACCUGGGCAACAAAUGUCAUCCUUGCCUUUGGCUGUGGAUUGGUGCAUUUGAUCCUAUCAAUCCCUUGUUUUCAGCCUAAUCCAACUUCCCCAAAACAUGGGGAAAAGAAGAGGAGAAUAUCAGAAAGCUUUCAAAUUUGCAACUGCAAGACUGAUACACAUUUUGCAAGGAUCUGUCUGAUGUGUACAACAAACAUUGGAAUUAAGGCUUCUACAAUACUGGUAUGUGGUCAAGUCUAUGGCUGUGCAAUGCUGGACUUCCGCAAAGCAUCUCCAGCUUCCACUGUUACCCAACUUGUAAACCAGAAGAUGUGCUGAUGUAGGUGGAUAGCAGCUCCAAGACAAGUCUGAGAGCACUGAACACAUUAAGAAGUGAUUGCUGAGCCCGUUAGGGACAGGCACGUCUGCGGACACUGUAGCAGGGUCCCCGGCCGCGGAGAACACGCCGAUCCAGCCCGUUUUGGACAGACACCGAGUAAGACUGAGGACACCAAGAGUAACUGAAGUAAUUUUCAGGAACACCAAAUUGCCAGCUUCUAUAAUGUCCAAUUCCAGAUACCCGUGAAACAAAACCUGGAAGUCUCCAAACCUAUAAUCACCUUGGCUUCCAGGGAAAGCAUAGCCUUGAAAACCACUCCAUGAUGAAAUCUCCUCCCUCCAAGCAGCAAUAGUCACCUCAUGAUGGGAAUGGAGGGAGCUUCUCUACCAAGCAAGAGCAAUCAUCUCAUGGGAACCAAGUUGUCCCUAAGGACUCCUCCAGAACUAUGAAACCAGAACUGAGAUAACUGGCCAGACCCUGGCCCACCUCAGCUAGUCCACUAAAGCUGGCCUUGUGCUUUUUUGAGGGGACGAGUCUGAACCACUGCAUCAGUGUUCCCCCUUCCUUUCUAACUCUCCCUGAUAAAUCUGCCUACACCGAUGCAUUCUGAAAUUAUUUUUCUGUGACAUGCAUCAAGAAACUACUCAGUGGGCCCAUUUGAGGUCCUUAUUUCCUCUUAUAGGACCUCCUUUGACUCCAUCUGGUGACAAUUUUAUGAUCUUAGAGAAUAAUCCAAACUCUACUUAUAAGAUAUUAAACUUCCAGGAAUUUAUUAUGAGAGUUUAUUGAAUGAAACAAAAAGAUUUUUACAGUAUGUUCACAUUAUACAAUACUAUGACUCCAUUAAAAAAUAAGGCCGAUCUAUGUAUUUUGUCAUGACAAACUCUCAGCAUUUAAUGUUGCAUGAAAUGACUGACUGACUCUCUCUCUCUCUCUCUCUCUCUCUCUCUCUCCCUCCCUCCCCC